rnacentral:rRNA from 1 species
GACGAACGCUGGCGGCGUGCUUAACACAUGCAAGUCGAACGCUGAAGCUCAGCUUUUGUUGGGUGGAUGAGUGGCGAACGGGUGAGUAACACGUGAGUAACCUGCCUCCUUCUUUGGGAUAACGCCCGGAAACGGGUGCUAAUACUGGAUAUUCACUGGUCUUCGCAUGGGGGUUGGUGGAAAGGGUUUUUCUGGUGGGGGAUGGGCUCGCGGCCUAUCAGCUUGUUGGUGGGGUGAUGGCCUACCAAGGCUUUGACGGGUAGCCGGCCUGAGAGGGUGACCGGUCACAUUGGGACUGAGAUACGGCCCAGAAUCCUACGGGAGGCAGCAGUGGGGAAGAUUGCACAAUGGGCGCAAGCCUGAUGCAGCGACGCCGCGUGAGGGAUGGAGGCCUUCGGGUUGUGAACCUCUUUCGCUCAUGGUCAAGCCGCAACAAUGGUUGUGGUGAGGGUAGUGGGUAAAGAAGCGCCGGCUAACUACGUG